AUGAAGCCGGAAUUGCUAGUAAUGGCAGGUCAGCAUACUGCCGUGAAUACGUUCCCGGGCCUUGUACACACCGCCCGUCACACCAUGAGAGUUGGGGAUACCCAAAGCCCGUGAGCCAACUUUAAAAGAGGCAGCGGUCUAAGGUAGAAUCAAUGAUUGGGGUGAAGUCGUAACAAGGUAUC
rnacentral:rRNA from 1 species